GGAAUAUAAAUCUUUUAAAUACACUAUAGCAUCAGGCAGAGUCAAGAGGAGUCUCUACCCGCUUCUAAUCAGAUUGCCAGAAGUCUUCCUUUUCUGGAUGGAGACUAAGAGGUACUUACUUCUCGCCCUGGGAAGGGAAGAUCUUGGCUUUCUGCUUGGAUCACUUCCUUCAAGAAGACCUCCUCAAGUUUCUUUCAUUGGACAAAUAUCAAUUUAGCACCUACUAUGUGCCUGGUACUGUGCUAGGCUAUCUGGGUAUACCAUGGUGAACAAAAUGGAUGUUUUUCCUGAGCUUGAAAAUGAUGAUUCUUCCUAUGGAAAUGAGGUUGGGAUCUAGGGGCUUGGAUACCCCCCACAUCAGAAGCUCAAAUCCUUCAUAAAUGGCAAAAAAGGGGAAUCAAAGAUAGCUAGGUUUUGAGGAUUACCUAAAGCCCAGACAGAUGACUCACUGUUUAAAAUGUAAACUUUUAGAAUAGUUUUAGACUUACAGAAAAGUUUUGCAGAUAGUACAGAAUUGCCAUAUACCCCAACCCAGUUUCUCCUAUUGUUAACACCUGACAUUGCUGCGGUACAUUUUCCACAACACUGGUAUGUUAUUGUUAACUAAACUCUGUAGUUUAUUUGGAUUUUAUUAGUUUUUACCCACCAUCCUUUCUCUGUUCCACAGGGUCUCUCACAUUGUAUGCAGCCAUCUUAUUUCCCUAGGCUGCUCUUGGCUGUGGUAGUUUCUCAGACUUUCCUUGCUUUUGAUGGACUG
rnacentral:lncRNA from 1 species